CGGGAAUCUUCCACAAUGGACGAAAGUCUGAUGGAGCAACGCCGCGUGAGUGAAGAAGGGUUUCGGCUCGUAAAACUCUGUUGUUAAAGAAGAACAUAUCUGAGAGUAACUGUUCAGGUAUUGACGGUAUUUAACCAGAAAGCCACGGCUAACUACGUGCCAGCAGCCGCGGUAAUACGUAGGUGGCAAGCGUUGUCCGGAUUUAUUGGGCGUAAAGCGAGCGCAGGCGGUUUUUUAAGUCUGAUGUGAAAGCCUUCGGCUCAACCGAAGAAGUGCAUCGGAAACUGGGAAACUUGAGUGCAGAAGAGGACAGUGGAACUCCAUGUGUAGCGGUGAAAUGCGUAGAUAUAUGGAAGAACACCAGUGGCGAAGGCGGCUGUCUGGUCUGUAACUGACGCUGAGGCUCGAAAGUAUGGGUAGCAAAC
rnacentral:rRNA from 1 species